CCGCACGUCAGUAUGAGAAAAGUUGAGUCGCAGCCUGAACCACUGACUGAACACCUGGGGAAAGCCCUGGGAGCACAGUUGAAGGCAAUUUACCUGUGUGACCAGAAGGGAAGGCGCCUGGUUCCACCUCUCUUAGACCUCAUUUAAGGGCUGACUGCUACUAGGGAAGGGUCUCUUUCUGGAGAUUUCUCAUUGGUGAAACUUUCUCCUUUAAGCCUAGGAUCUUCUGAUAUGGAUAGAAUCAUGAGCUGCUGAAAGGCCUCAGUUGGAUCCAACCUGUUGGAUGAUAGUCCCACAAAUGGUCUCUGUAGAAAUGACUCUUGGGGAAAGCUACACACCUGAUCUCAUAUUUUUUUUCCUUUGCAAGGAUGUUUUGCCAAUUGGCAAGUUCAACAGGAAGAACAUAGACACCAACAAAAGGGAUAAGAUUAUUAUACUGUGUAUUUCAAAAUGAUACAGAAAUAAAGCAGUGCCUACAGUAAAAAGAUAAGCUUAACAGUAAAGAAAAUAAGUGGAGUAAUGCAUCUAAUUGUUACUACAUGAGGUUAGCAAAAGUGAUUAAGAAAGACACAUCAUCCAUUGCCCUAGUACUUUACUAUCAUCCACAGGUGCUGGAGAGCCCUGGUUGCAGUGCAGAUCAAUUGGGAACUCCUAUGGUGGUGUGUCCCCCCUGUAAGUGAGGUCUCCAAAGUUGCUGCAAGAAAGUCUUAUGGAAACAAAUCUACAUAACAAUCAGGUAGAACACCUGUUUUCCUCUUUUUUCCUGUUGGUUUUCACCCCUAACUUGGCUAGAAUUCAUGGAGGAACCAAGGGAGUUGUGCUAUGUAUUUUGGUGUACUGCAGGCUUCUUUGGCGAGACUUUCUGCCUAGGCCGCUGCAGUAUGAUUAAUUGAGUACCAAACAUUGCAGCAAAGUUGCCUUCUGAUCAAGAAAUAUAUAAUUUAACCAUGAUUGCUGCACAAUACACAUUACAAUAGAGCUUCUGUAGAGAAACACCAGAAUAUACACUCAUACUGACAUGACAAAAUAUGGAUAAACA
ensembl:lncRNA